rnacentral:rRNA from 1 species
AGAGUUUGAUCAUGGCUCAGAAUCAACGCUGGCGGCGUGCCUCAGACAUGCAAGUCGAACGCGAAAGUCCCCUUCGGGGGACAAGUAGAGUGGCGCACGGGUGAGUAACACGUAGGUAAUCUACCUUUGGAUGGGGAAUAACAAUCGGAAACGGUUGCUAAUACCGCAUAAUGCAGCGGCACCUAAUGGUGACAGUUGUUAAAGCGGGGGAUCGAAAGACCUCGCGUCUAAAGAGGAGCCUGCGGCGGAUUAGCUAGUUGGUAAGGUAAUGGCUUACCAAGGCUACGAUCCGUAACCGGCCUGAGAGGGCGGUCGGUCACACUGACACUGACAUACGGGUCAGACUCCUACGGGAGGCAGCAGUCGGGAAUUUUGGGCAAUGGGCGAAAGCCUGACCCAGCAACGCCGCGUGAAGGAUGAAAUCCCUCGGGAUGUAAACUUCGCAAGAACGGGAAGAAUAAGUAGGGGACAAUACCCCCUAUGAUGACGGUACCGUUUGUAAGCUCCGGCUAACUCCGUGCCAGCAGCCGCGGUAAUACGGGGGGAGCAAGCGUUGUUCGGAUUUACUGGGCGUAAAGGGCGCGUAGGCGGCCAGCACAAGUCAGUUGUGAAAUCUCCGAGCUU